rnacentral:rRNA from 1 species
UGGCUCAGAACGAACGCUGGCGGCGUGCUUAACACAUGCAAGUCGAACGCGAAAGUGGUCUUCGGACCGCGAGUAGAGUGGCGCACGGGUGAGUAACGCGUAGAUAAUCUACCCUGGUGUUUGGAAUAACCAGCCGAAAGGCUGACUAAUACCGGAUACAUGUAUGNNGCGGGGGCAUACAGGAAAGGUGGCCUCUGACGUAAGCCAUCGCACUGGGAUGAGUCUGCGUACCAUUAGCUUGUUGGUGGGGUAAUGGCCUACCAAGGCGACGAUGGUUAGCGGGUCUGAGAGGAUGAUCCGCCACACUGGCACUGGAACACGGGCCAGACUCCUACGGGAGGCAGCAGUGAGGAAUAUUGCGCAAUGGGGGCAACCCUGACGCAGCGACGCCGCGUGAGUGAGGAAGGCCUUCGGGUCGUAAAGCUCUGUCAGCAGGGAAGAAGUGUGAGGGGGUUAACAGCCUUUUCAUUUGACGGUACCUGCAGAGGAAGCACCGGCUAACUCCGUGCCAGCAGCCGCGGUAAUACGGAGGGUGCGAGCGUUGUUCGGAAUUACUGGGCGUAAAGGGCGCGCAGGCGGCUUUAUAAGUCAGAUGUGAAAGUCUACGGCUUAACUGUGGAAGUGCAUUUGAAACUGUGAGGCUUGAGUACCAGAGGGGAAGGUGGAAUUCCCGGUGUAGAGGUGAAAUUCGUAGAUAUCGGGAGGAAUACCGGUGGCGAAGGCGACUUUCUGGCUGGAUACUGACGCUGAGGCGCGAAAGCGUGGGGAGCAAACAGGAUUAGAUACCCUGGUAGUCCACGCCGUAAACGAUGUGCACUAGACGUUGGAGGUAUUGAUCCCUUCGGUGUCGGAGCUAACGCAUUAAGUGCACCGCCUGGGGAGUACGGUCGCAAGAUUAAAACUCAAAUGAAUUGACGG